UACGUAGGGUGCGAGCGUUAAUCGGAAUUACUGGGCGUAAAGCGUGCGCAGGCGGUUUUGUAAGUCAGAUGUGAAAUCCCCGGGCUUAACCUGGGAACUGCGUUUGAAACUACAAGGCUAGAGUGUGGCAGAGGGGGGUGGAAUUCCACGUGUAGCAGUGAAAUGCGUAGAGAUGUGGAGGAACACCGAUGGCGAAGGCAGCCUCCUGGGCCAGCACUGACGCUCAUGCACGAAAGCGUGGGGAGCAAACAGG
rnacentral:rRNA from 1 species